rnacentral:rRNA from 1 species
CAGCAGCCGCGGGAAUACGUAGGGUGCAAGCGUUAAUCGGAAUUAUUGGGCGUAAAGGGCUCGCAGGCGGUUUCUUAAGUCUGAUGUGAAAGCCCCCGGCUCAACCGGGGAGGGUCAUUGGAAACUGGGAAACUUGAGUGCAGAAGAGGAGAGUGGAAUUCCACGUGUAGCGGUGAAAUGCGUAGAGAUGUGGAGGAACACCAGUGGCGAAGGCGACUCUCUGGUCUGUAACUGACGCUGAGGAGCGAAAGCGUGGGGAGCGAACAGGAUUAGAUACCCCGGUAGUCCCUGUCUCUUAUAC